rnacentral:rRNA from 1 species
GACGAACGCUGGCGGCGUGCUUAACACAUGCAAGUGGAGCGACGAACCAGGGCUUGCCCUGGGGCAGAGCCGCGAACGGGUGAGUAACACGUGGGUAACGUGCCCCGAUGAUCGGGACAACCCGGGGAAACCCGGGCUAAUACCGAAUGUGCUCCCCUCACACCAGUGAGGGAUGGAAAGGAAGCUUCGGCCUCCGCAUCGGGAUCGGCCCGCGGCCCAUUAGCUUGUUGGUGAGGUAACGGCUCACCAAGGCUGCGAUGGGUAGCUGGUCCGAGAGGACGAUCAGCCACACUGGGACUGAGACACGGCCCAGACUCCUACGGGAGGCAGCAGUGGGGAAUCUUGCGCAAUGCGCGAAAGCGUGACGCAGCAACGCCGC